rnacentral:rRNA from 1 species
CCUACGGGAGGCAGCAGUGGGGAAUAUUGCACAAUGGGGGAAACCCUGAUGCAGCGACGCCGCGUGAGUGAAGAAGUAUUUCGGUAUGUAAAGCUCUAUCAGCAGGGAAGAAAAUGACGGUACCUGAUUAAGAAGCCCCGGCUAACUACGUGCCAGCAGCCGCGGUAAUACGUAGGGGGCAAGCGUUAUCCGGAUUGACUGGGUGUAAAGGGGGCGUUGACGGCAGCACAAGUCUGGAGUGAAAUGCCGGGGCAUAACCCCCGAACUGCUUUGGAAACUGUGAAGCUAGAGUGCAGGAUGGGUAAGUGGAAUUUCUAGUGGAGCGGUGAAAUGCGUAGAUAUUAGAAGGAACACCAAUGGCGAAGGCGGCUUACUGGACUGUAACUGACGUUGAGGCUCGAAAGCGUGGGGAGCAAACAGGAUUAGAUACCCUUGUAGUC